UGGGGAAUAUUGCACAAUGGAGGGAACUCUGAUGCAGCGACGCCGCGUGAGUGAUGAAGGAAUUCGUUUCGUAAAACUCUGUUCUAUGGGAAGAAAAGGACUGUACCAUAGGAGAAAGCUCCGGCUAAAUACGUGCCAGCAGCCGCGGUAAUACGUAUGGAGCGAGCGUUGUCCGGAAUUAUUGGGCGUAAAGGGUGCGCAGGCGGCUUUACAAGUUGGAUGUGAAAUAUUGUGGCUCACCACAAACGUGCAUCCAAAACUGCAAAGCUUGAGUUAAGGAGAGGUAAGUGGAAUUCCUGGUGUAGCGGUGGAAUGCGUAGAUAUCAGGAGGAAUACCGGUGGCGAAGGCGACUUACUGGACUUAAACUGACGCUCAGGCACGAAAGCGUGGGGAGCAAACAGG
rnacentral:rRNA from 1 species